rnacentral:lncRNA from 1 species
AGCUGCCAUCCCCGCUGCGGCCGCGGCUGCGGCUGCCGGGAACCCGCGGCGGCUGGGGUUGGCUAGCCCCGGUCAGCGGCCGGCUGGUCUUGACAGCUCAGGUUCCUUAUUCUAGACACAAUAAUUUUCCUACGGUGUUUAUGUUGUCCUCAUCUUGAAUGCAAAACAGAAUCCAUAAGCUCAGGAUUUAGUAGGUUCUUUAGAAGAAAAAAGACAUUCAUUUGAAUCAUUCUGUAGGUAUCUCUGCAUUUCAUUUUGGGGAAAUCUAACUUAAUAAUAAAUCAUUGAUCCAGGUUCA